GGGGNNNNCCUUCGCGCGAUCGCCUUGAGUUGAUCAUGGCUCAGAAUCAACGCUGGCGGCGUGCCUCAGACAUGCAAGUCGAACGCGAAAGCUCCCUUCGGGGAGCAAGUAGAGUGGCGCACGGGUGAGUAACACGUAGGUAAUCUACCUUUGGAUGGGGAAUAACAACCGGAAACGGUUGCUAAUACCGCAUAAUGCAGCGGCACCUAAUGGUGACAGUUGUUAAAGCGGGGGAUCGUAAGACCUCGCGUCUGAAGAGGAGCCUGCGGCAGAUUAGCUAGUUGGUAAGGUAACGGCUUACCAAGGCGAUGAUCUGUAGCCGGCCUGAGAGGGCGGUCGGCCACACUGACACUGACAUACGGGUCAGACUCCUACGGGAGGCAGCAGUCGGGAAUUUUGGGCAAUGGGCGAAAGCCUGACCCAGCAACGCCGCGUGAAGGAUGAAAUCCUUCGGGAUGUAAACUUCGCAAGAACAGGAAGAAUAAGUAAGGGUUAAUAUCUCUUACGAUGACGGUACUGUUUGUAAGCUCCGGCUAACUCCGUGCCAGCAGCCGCGGUAAUACGGGGGGAGCAAGCGUUGUUCGGAUUUACUGGGCGUAAAGGGCGCGUAGGCGGCCACCGCAAGUCGACUGUGAAAUCUCCGGGCUUAACCCGGAAAGGUCAGCCGAUACUGCGGGGCUAGAGUGCAGAAGGGGCAACUGGAAUUCUCGGUGUAGCGGUGAAAUGCGUAGAUAUCGAGAGGAACACCUGCGGCGAANGCGGGUUGCUGGGCUGACACUGACGCUGA
rnacentral:rRNA from 1 species